rnacentral:tRNA from 1 species
GCCCGCCUAGCUCAAUCGGAUAGAGCGUCAGACUCUUAUCGAUCAUCUGUUGGCGGUAUAAUCUGAAGGCUGCGAGUUCGACCCUCGCGGUGGGCU